UACAGAGGUCCCGAGCGUUGUUCGGAUUCACUGGGCGUAAGGGGUGCGUAGGUGGCGAUGAAAGUUCGAUGUGAAAUCUCCGGGCUUAACCCGGAAAAGGCAUUGAAAACUAUGUUGCUUGAGGUUUGGAGGGGGGACUGGAAUUCUUGGUGUAGCAGUGAAAUGCGUAGAUAUCAAGAGGAACACCAGUGGCGAAGGCGGGUCCCUGGACAACACCUGACACUGAGGCACGAAAGCUAGGGGAGCAAACAGG
rnacentral:rRNA from 1 species